rnacentral:rRNA from 1 species
UACAGAGGGGGCAAGCGUUGUUCGGAAUUACUGGGCGUAAAGGGCGCGUAGGCGGCCUUCUAAGUCGAACGUGAAAUCCCCGGGCUCAACCCGGGAACUGCGUCCGAUACUGGAAGGCUUGAAUCCGGGAGAGGGAUGCGGAAUUCCAGGUGUAGCGGUGAAAUGCGUAGAUAUCGGGAGGAACACCAGUGGCGAAGGCGGUUGCCUGGGGCUUUGCUGACGCUGAUGCGCGAAAGCGUGGGGAGCGAUCCGG